GCCGAUGAUGCUGUACCCAACAUUUGGAGGUGCAGAUGGCUCUAGGAUCCUGUUUACAGGAUGAACCUACCUCGAGGCGCUGUAUCCACAUGACAUUAAUGGGCAAGUCUGAGUU
rfam:Triticum aestivum genome assembly, contig: Triticum_aestivum_CS42_TGACv1_scaffold_321903_4BL